ensembl:lincRNA D930016D06Rik RIKEN cDNA D930016D06 gene
GUCACAGAACAUGACGUGGAAUGAAUUCAGAAAUUGAACAUGAUUGUCAGCACAUGAAAGGUGCCUCAGGGAGAGUGCAGCUUUUCUUUCUCUAUGACUGCAGAAGAAAUAAUAAUGUGCAGACAUGACUCUUUAUGCUGUCCCUGGAGAGUUCAGUUAGUGACUGACAAGUGGUGACUGUGAGAUGCACAGGGAACAGAUGGAGCAGCUGGUGCGGUGCAUGAAAGGUCAAGUGCUGGGACUGAAGGUGUCCUGUUGCAGACAGGCCAGUGUCUCAGUGUGACCAUGAGAUUCAGCAGUCAGCCUUGCCCAGGUGUCCUCUCCAGUCUCCAGUGGACCUGGAAGUUGGAGGCAGAAGUGGGGGUGCCAGGAUCCACAUGUGUUACUGUGUGGUCCUGAGUGGAUUUGCCAUAACAAGUACAUUACUUAUGUCUGGUUUAUCAUACGAUGCUGGUCUUUAUAACUAAUCAUUAACCUUCUACACUAUUUUCCAUAAGCUUUACCCAUGGAUGAAAGAUUUUUUAACUUUUCCUCACAUGAUAGAUCUAGACUUUGAAAUAUUGAACUAAGGGGAAAAAACCUGGAAAGUAUGUUGAGAAGUACGCACAAUUGCUGCCCUGCCUAACUCUUCAGGUGACAAGUAGCUUUCUAAAGCUUGGAACUGUCAAAGGACUUCUGAGUAUGCUUCCAGCCACAAGUCAGUGCUGACAUCUUAACCAGUGUGUGGAGGAGGAGAGCAUUGGUUUCCACACUGAG